rnacentral:rRNA from 1 species
UGGGGAAUAUUGCACAAUGGGCGCAAGCCUGAUGCAGCCAUGCCGCGUGUGUGAAGAAGGCCUUCGGGUUGUAAAGCACUUUCAGCGAGGAGGAAGGUGGUGAGCUUAAUACGCUCAUCAAUUGACGUUACUCGCAGAAGAAGCACCGGCUAACUCCGUGCCAGCAGCCGCGGUAAUACGGAGGGUGCAAGCGUUAAUCGGAAUUACUGGGCGUAAAGCGCACGCAGGCGGUUUGUUAAGUCAGAUGUGAAAAUCCCCGGGCUCAACCUGGGAACUGCAUUUGAAACUGGCAAGCUAGAGUCUCGUAGAGGGGGGUAGAAUUCCAGGUGUAGCGGUGAAAUGCGUAGAGAUCUGGAGGAAUACCGGUGGCGAAGGCGGCCCCCUGGACGAAGACUGACGCUCAGGUGCGAAAGCGUGGGGCAGCAAACAGGAUUAGAUACCCUGGUAGUCCACGCUGUAAAACGAUGUCGAUUUUGGAGGUUGUGCCCCUUGAGGCGUGGNUUCCGGAGCUAACGCGUUAAAUCGACCGCCUGGGGAGUACGGCCNCAAGGUUAAAACUUAAAUGAAUUGC